rnacentral:rRNA from 1 species
GAGCGAACGGUGGCGGCGUGGAUUAGGCAUGCAAGUCGAGCGCGAAAGGCCCGCAAGGGCUGAGUAAAGCGGCGGACGGGUGAGUAACGUAUGGACAACCUACCUCCAACCCGGGGAUAACAGCUGGAAACGGCUGCUAAUACCCGAUAGCUCCGGUAGCGUAUUUCGCGGCCGGAUAAAGGGGGGCAACUCCCAGUUAGAGAGGGGUCCAUAUCCCAUCAGCUAGUUGGCGGGGUAAUGGCUCACCAAGGCAACGACGGGUAGCCGGACUGAGAGGUCGACCAGCCACAUCGGGACUGAGACACUGCCCGGACUCCUACGGGAGGCUGCAGUCGAGAAUCUUCCGCAAUGUGCGAAAGCAUGACGGAGCGACGCCGCGUGCAGGAUGAAGGCCUUCGGGUUGUAAACUGCUGUCACCCGUUAAGAACGUUCAGUUUAACAAACUGAGCUGACGUUAGCGGGUAAGGAAGCCACGGCUAACUUCGUGCCAGCAGCCGCGGUAAGACGAAGGUGGCAACCGUUGCUCGGAUUCACUGGGCAUAAAGCGCGCGUAGGCGGCUCGGCAGGUCACUGGUGAAAUCCCACGGCUCAACCGUGGACCCGCCAGUGAAACCGCCUUGCUUGAGGACGAGAGGGAGAGAAUGGUACUCUUGGUGUAGCGGUGAAAUGCGUAGAUAUCAAGAGGAACGCCGGUGGCGAAAGCGAUUCUCUGGAUCGUUCCUGAC